GACGAACGCUGGCGGCGUGCUUAACACAUGCAAGUCGAACGGAAAGGCCCUGCUUUUGUUGGGUGCUCGAGUGGCGAGCGCGUGAGAGACACGCGUGUAACCUGCCCUUAACUUUCGGAUAUCUCCUGGAAACUGGGGCUAAUACAGCAUAUGAGCUCCUGCACCACGGUGUGGGUCGGAAAGUUUCGGCGGUUGUGGAUGGACUCGCGGCUUAUCGGCUUGGUGGUCGGGUAGUGGCUUACCAAGGCUUCGACGGGGAGCCGGCCUGAGAGGGUGACCGGCCACACUGGGACUGAGGUACGGCGCGGAAGCCUACGGGAGGCAGCAGUGGGGAAUAUAGCACAAUGGGAGGAAGCCUGAGGGAGCAACGCCGGGUGCGGGAUGCCGGCCUUCGGGGGGUAAACCGCUUUCGACUGUGACGAGGCGGGAGUGACGGUAAUGGGUAAAGAAGCACCGGCUAACUACGUG
rnacentral:rRNA from 1 species